rnacentral:rRNA from 1 species
UACUGCAUUUUUUCUUACACAUGUGUUUUUCUUUUUUUGAAAACUUUGCUUUGGUAGGCCCUUCAUGUGGGGCCUGCCAGAGAUUAAACUCAACCAAAUUUUAUUUAAUGUCAACCGAUUAUUUAAUAGUCAAAACUUUCAACAACGGAUCUCUUGGUUCUCGCAUCGAUGAAGAACGCAGCGAAAUGCGAUAAGUAAUAUGAAUUGCAGAUAUUCGUGAAUCAUCGAAUCUUUGAACGCACAUUGCGCCCUUUGGUAUUCCAAAGGGCAUGCCUGUUUGAGCGUCAUUUCUCCCUCAAACCCUCGGGUUUGGUGUUGAGCGAUACGCUGGGUUUGCUUGAAAGAAAGGCGGAGUAUAAACUAAUGGAUAGGUUUUUUCCACUCAUUGGUACAAACUCCAAAACUUCUUCCAAAUUCGACCUCAAAUCAGGUAGGACUACCCGCUGAACUUAAGCAUAUCAAUAAGCGGAGG